rnacentral:rRNA from 1 species
GACGAACGCUGGCGGCGUGCUUAACACAUGCAAGUCGAACGGAAAGGCCCUGCUUUUGUGGGGUGCUCGAGUGGCGAACGGGUGAGUAACACGUGAGUAACCUGCCCUUGACUUUGGGAUAACUUCAGGAAACUGGGGCUAAUACCGGAUAGGAGCUCCUGCUGCAUGGUGGGGGUUGGAAAGUUUCGGCGGUUGGGGAUGGACUCGCGGCUUAUCAGCUUGUUGGUGGGGUAGUGGCUUACCAAGGCUUUGACGGGUAGCCGGCCUGAGAGGGUGACCGGCCACAGUGGGACUGAGAUACGGCCCAGACUCCUACGGGAGGCAGCAGUGGGGAAUAUUGCACAAUGGGCGGAAGCCGGAUGCAGCAACGCCGCGUGCGGGAUGACGGCCUUCGGGUUGUAAACCGCUUUCGCCUGUGACGAAGCGUGAGUGAGGGUAAUGGGUAAGAAGCACCGGCUAACUACGUG